AUUCGAACUCCAUUUCAAAGUUUUCGAUUUAAAGCUUGAAAUGUGCAAGAGCAGAGGUCCCUUCCACACCUUUAACAUGCUUGAAUUUGAAAUAAUCGACCUCGUUUGUUUCCUUGUAAAUCGGCGGCUUAUCUUCCGACAGCAAUUCCUUAAUCGGUCC